rnacentral:rRNA from 1 species
CGUGUUGAAUUCAGAGUUGGAAGACUUGGGCACCUUGGUGUCCUUUCGUUCCAUCUCUGUCUAGACGGGAUUGUGUCUUGCUGAUGCUAGGCUUAACUGCCCAGUUGAGGCUCUCGACUGAGAGGUUGGGGUUACACGUGUGACGCACGUACAAAGGCCGCCCGUUGUUAUCACUGUGAGAAAACAGCGUGUUCAAAGCUGCCGCAUGUCGGCUGAAUGACAAAGCAUGGAAUGACAAGUAUCGACCAAUUGGUCUUUGUUUUGUUGGUUUUUACGAUCGAUUCGGAUAAUUCGUUCCGUAGCGUGCCUGGUUUCAUUCGUGAGAUCUUGCAUUCUUUGUGAACACGGGAUUAAUGGGGGUUGUCGGGGGAAACGUAUUUGAGCGUGAGAGGUGAAAUUCUUAGACCGCUCGAGGCGAACUUAUGCGAAGGCAUUUUCCAAGUAUACCUUCAUCAAUCAAGAACUAAAGUGUGGGAUCGAAGAUGAUUAGAUACCAUUGUAGUCC